rnacentral:rRNA from 1 species
CACGUAGGGCGCAAGCGUUGUCCGGAAUUAUUGGGCGUAAAGAGCUCGUAGGCGGUCUGUUGCGUCCGCUGUGAAAACUCGGGGCUUAACCCCGAGCCUGCAGUGGAUACGGGCAGACUAGAGGUAGGUAGGGAGAAUGGAAUUCCCGGUGUAGGCGGUGAAAUGCGCAGAUAUCAGGAGGAACACCGAUAGCGAAGACGAGC